rnacentral:lncRNA from 1 species
GCAAGGAGCCCGAUGCAGGGCUCGAUCCCAGGACCCCGGGAUCAUGACCUGAGCUGAAGGCAAAUGCCUGAUGACUGAGCCACCCAGGCUCAGUCUUCCUUGCUCACGCUACCUGUCUUUCUUGUUGGCUGGGCCCUCUGGUCCACAUUAUUCUCUCUCUCCAAGCUUCAGGCUCAUGGGUCCGAAUGGGUCUGGUGGGUCUGGCCAUUCGGGCAGAGAGAAAAAGGAGCCAAAGGGGAAUCCUGCACAGACUCCUAAUUCAGUCUGCCCACGUUACUUCCACUCACACUUCACUGAGCAAAGCACUUGCUUGAUCCAAUUUCGGGUGGGCAGAGAAGUGCAAUCCACCACAGGUCUGGGAGGUAAAAAGGAAAAUUUGGUGCACAGAACAAGUGUCGAUGGCACUUCCAUAUCCCCAGGUAUGCCCCCCGAGAGGCGGCUGAAACUUAGCAUAUCCAGAAGAGAACUUCCUCUUCCUCAAACCUACCUGCUCCAAGCCUUUCCUGUGCCUACAAAUGGCACCUCCCUCUAUCCGGUCAAUCAAUCUGAGCACCCAGAGUCAUUCUUGACUCUCCCCUUCUCCCACCACAUCAAAGCCAUCACCAAGUUCCUUCGAUUCAACCACCAUCGUGUGUCUGCCUUUCAUCUGCUUCUUUCCACCUGCUUGCCCGCACCCUGGUCCUGGCCACCCACUCUCCCUUGGACACCUGCCGUGGCUGCUGCCAGGUCCCCCUGCUCCUUCUUGCCCCUCCACACUCCAUUACCCGCAGCAGCAAGUGUGACUUUUAGAAACAUACACAAAGGUCACUUUCCUGCUCAAAACCUUCCAGGGGUUCCCGCUGCUCCCAGAAUAAACCACAGAGUCCUCACCAUGGCCACGGGGUUGUGUGUGAGCCCACAGCCGUCUCCAGCCACGUCUACACCCUCCUCCUGUCCCACAGUCCCUUGGGUACCCCGGCUGGACCCCCUCGGCACUUUGGAACACCCCUACAUCGUGCCGAGGACUUCAUAUUCACCGUCCCGAUGCCUGGGACGACCAUCUCAUCCACAGACCUCAGCCUGGAGUCAAAGCCCUCCCAGAC